rnacentral:rRNA from 1 species
UGGGGGAUAUUGCACAAUGGGCGAAAGCCUGAUGCAGCGACGCCGCGUGGGGGAUGAAGGCUUUCGGGUUGUAAACCUCUUUCGCUAUCGAACAAGGCCCGCUUAGGGUGGGUUGAGGGUAGGUGGAGAAGAAGCGCCGGCUAACUACGUGCCAGCAGCCGCGGUAAUACGUAGGGCGCGAGCGUUGUCCGGAAUUAUUGGGCGUAAAGGGCUUGUAGGCGGCUUGUUGCGCCUGCUGUGAAAACGCGGGGCUUAACUUCGCGCGUGCAGUGGGUACGGGCAGGCUUGAGUGUGGUAGGGGUGACUGGAAUUCCAGGUGUAGCGGUGGAAUGCGCAGAUAUCUGGAGGAACACCGAUGGCGAAGGCAGGUCACUGGGCCAUUACUGACGCUGAGGAGCGAAAGCAUGGGUAGCGAACACG